UACAAGUAGUAUAGGAUAAUAUAUUGGAUUUAGAGUCUGAAGAAGAGGUUGUAUU
rnacentral:tRNA from 1 species